rnacentral:rRNA from 1 species
GACGAACGCUGGCGGCGUGCUUAACACAUGCAAGUCGAACGGAAAGGCCCUGCUUGCAGGGUCCUCGAGUGGCGAACGGGUGAGUAACACGUGGGUGAUCUGCCCUGCACUUCGGGAUAAGCCUGGGAAACUGGGUCUAAUACCGGAUAGGAGCCAUUUUUAGUGUGAUGGUUGGAAAGUUUUUUCGGUGUAGGAUGAGCUCGCGGCCUAUCAGCUUGUUGGUGGGGUAAUGGCCUACCAAGGCGGCGACGGGUAGCCGGCCUGAGAGGGUGGACGGCCACAUUGGGACUGAGAUACGGCCCAGACUCCUACGGGAGGCAGCAGUGGGGAAUAUUGCACAAUGGGCGCAAGCCGGAUGCAGCGACGCCGCGUGGGGGAUGACGGCCUUCGGGUUGUAAACUCCUUUCGCUAGGGACGAAGCUUUUUGUGACGGUACCUAGAUAAGAAGCACCGGCUAACUACGUG